rnacentral:sRNA from 1 species
AGUGCAGUGAAUAGAAGACACUUCUCUGCACCCCAAAAGCUCCAUGCUGAUUGCGAGAAGGAAAUGCUGGAUGGAGGGGUUCCUGGAACUACUGUGAGGGAAAUGGUGAGAGAACUUUGGAUGUGGAACGUGGAGGAGGAGGAACACGAAGUGGGGAU